GGGGGUAUAGCUCAGUGGUAGAGAGUGUGUGCUUAGCAUGCACAAGGUCCUCUGUUCAAUCCCUAGUACCUCCA
rnacentral:tRNA from 1 species